UACGUAGGGUGCAAGCGUUGUCCGGAAUUAUUGGGCGUAAAGAGCUCGUAGGCGGUUUGUCGCGUCGGCUGUGAAAUCCCGAGGCUCAACCUCGGGCCUGCAGUCGAUACGGGCAAACUAGAGUGUGGUAGGGGAGACUGGAAUUCCUGGUGUAGCGGUGAAAUGCGCAGAUAUCAGGAGGAACACCGGCGGCGAAGGCGGGUCUCUGGGACGUUACUGACGCUGAUGCGCGAAAGCGUGGGGAGCAAACAGG
rnacentral:rRNA from 1 species